GAUUUCUGGCCUGAAACACUUUGCCGGCCACGGUUUCGUGUGUUAGUGCUUUGUGUUCUGGCCAUCCUUCCAAUCGCUAUUCAGCUUUCUUCAUUGAUGGCUGAGUGGUAUUGGAUCUUUUACUUUGAAAAAAUUAGAGUGUUUCAAGCAGGCUUUAUGCUAUGAAUACAUUAGCAUGGAAUAAUAAUCUAGGACUUCGGUUCUAUUUUGUUGGUUUCUAUAACUGAAGUAAUGAUUGAUAGGGAUAGUUGGGGGUGCUAGUAUUCAGCGGCCAGAGGUGAAAUUCUCGGAUUCGCUGAAGACUAACUUAUGCGAAAGCAUU
rnacentral:rRNA from 1 species